AGCUUGUUAACCAGGUUCACAUCCUUCUCCAUUUAUAUAUAGUGUUAUUUUGAAAAUAUAAGAUGUAGUGUUAAUUAUGGACAUUCAUACGAAUAUGGUUUUGGGUUUUGUUAAUUAUGGUAUAAGAUUUGUAUUUGUUAAUUUAUUUUACGGGUUUUGGGUUUAGAGAGCUGUAAUGAAACUGGCGGGAUUAUUUGCUUGUGCGGUUAAUGGAUUUUGGGAUAUUUUGCGAUGUAGCUGUUAGUUUUGGGAGAUGGAAGAUCUUGUGAUUUCCAUGUAAUAUCGCCUGGUUAUGGUUUUGGGUUAAGUCUCUAAUUUAUGGUGAUUAGGAGGAUGAUUUUA
rnacentral:misc_RNA from 1 species